rnacentral:rRNA from 1 species
CGAACGGUGAACCCCUUCGGGGGGGAUCAGUGGCGAACGGGUGAGUAACACGUGAGCAACCUGCCCCUGGCUCUGGGACAACCACUGGAAACGGUGGCUAAUACCGGAUACGACUCGCUCGGGCAUCCGAUGCGGGUGGAAAGUUUUUCGGCUGGGGAUGGGCUCGCGGCCUAUCAGCUUGUUGGUGGGGUGAUGGCCCACCAAGGCGACGACGGGUAGCCGGCCUGAGAGGGCGACCGGCCACACUGGGACUGAGACACGGCCCAGACUCCUACGGGAGGCAGCAGUGGGGAAUAUUGCACAAUGGGCGCAAGCCUGAUGCAGCGACGCCGCGUGAGGGAUGACGGCCUUCGGGUUGUAAACCUCUUUCAGCAGGGAAGAAGCCGCACUCCGGUGCGGUGACGGUACCUGCAGAAGAAGCACCGGCUAACUACGUGCCAGCAGCCGCGGUAAUACGUAGGGUGCAAGCGUUGUCCGGAAUUAUUGGGCGUAAAGAGCUCGUAGGCGGUGUGUCGCGUCUGCUGUGAAAACUCAGGGCUCAACUCUGAGCUUGCAGUGGGUACGGGCACACUUGAGUGCGGUAGGGGAGACUGGAAUUCCUGGUGUAGCGGUGAAAUGCGCAGAUAUCAGGAGGAACACCGGUGGCGAAGGCGGGUCUCUGGGCCGUAACUGACGCUGAGGAGCGAAAGCAUGGGGAGCGAACAGGAUUAGAUACCCUGGUAGUCCAUGCCGUAAACGUUGGGCGCUAGGUGUGGGGUCCAUUCCACGGACUCCGUGCCGCAGCUAACGCAUUAAGCGCCCCGCCUGGGGAGUAC